AUUGGAACAAGGUGAAGAUAUGCAAUUGUGAUGGUGCACCUUUUGCUAGUCUCCUAGAAAAUGAGGCUCAGGAUAAUACAGAUGUAUUAGCCUAUUGGUUGUCUAAUACAUCUACUUUAUUGAUGCUGCUACAACGCACCCUCAAAGCAAGUGGAGCUGCUAGCUUAACACCUCAGCGGCGGAGAACAGCGUCAUCUUCUCUGUUUGGAAGGAUGUCUCAAGGGCUAAGGGCAUCUCCUCAAAGUGCUGGAUUGCCUUUUAUAAAUGGAAGAAGUCUUAGUAGACUUGAUGGUUUAUGACAAGUAGAAGCAAAAUAUCCGGCACUUUCGUUUAAGCAACAGCUUACUGCCUUCCUUGAGAAGUUAUAUAGAAUGAUACGAGACAACCUGAAAAAGGAGAUAUCCCCAUUACUUGGACUGUGUAUAUAGGCUCCAAGGACCUCCCAUCAAGGUUUAGUAAAAGGACGCUCACAUGCUAAUGCGGUUGCUCAGCAAAGCUUUAAUAGCUCACUAGCAAAGUAUUGUGAAAAGCUUGAACAACUCGCUAAAGAUAAUGAAAACAAACUAUGGUGUAGUUUCACUUUAUGGGAUGACAGAUCCAAAAGAUAAGCCUAUAGUGUUCUGCUCUACUAGAGACAACUCAGUUCUCCUCUAUGAAUUGCCAUCGUAAGUCAACUUGCAACCAUUGCCAUCACCAUCACCUUCUAAUCUAAACUUGAUUUGGUUCUUGAUUGUAUCUCUACAUUUAUGAGAAGUACAUGAAAGGGGUAAGUUUUAUACAUGUUGGAUUAUGCAGUGCUUUAGGCGGAUAAACUAACAUUGGAUCAACUCUGAAAGAGUUGUGCAUGGAUAGUUUCAAUCUCGUUAAUACUAAAGUUAUUUGAGGUCUUUCUGAAGAGUUUAUCAAGGAUUAUGUCAUGGCAUGCAGUCGCAAUCUUAAGGGCCUUGUUUUAAAGGAUUGUAUAAAUUUGCUCGUAGGUUGAAUGUGCUUGACAUUUCGAAUUUGUGCAAAUUGACAGAUUCGUCUCUAGGAUAUUUUAAGAAUAGAUUUCGACAAUUGAGUACUUUGAAGCUCUGCCGCAAUCCAUUCAAUGAUGAGGCAAUUGCUGCUUUUUUGGAGAUAGGUGGAAAAACCUUGAAAGAACUUUCACUUAAUAACAUUUACUCAUCUACCCAAAAUGAAGACUUUUCUACUUUAGAACAAGUGGGUUUCACUAGUUAUGGUCUAAGAAUUUCUUUCUUGAUGCUGAUUGUAUGAUGUUUUGGUGCUUCACUUUGUUUUGCAGCUAUUCAAAAGAUAAGUUUGCUAUUCUUUUCGGUCAUGAGUAUCAAGUGUUUGGAUAAAUGUUUUAUAUACAUCUAAGUAUAUAAUACCUAUACACUGACCAUGGUGCAUACUCCCAGUUUGUACAUGUUUUACAAAACAUAUUACUUAUAUCUUCAUUAUUGGAUUGACGACGGCUGUUAUCAUUUAAUAAUUUGUGAUAGUUAUGUUGUAUAGGCCCGAGCUUUAUAAGUCUAGGGUUUUGGAACUGAAUGCUAGUGAUGAUCGUGGUAUUAAUGUUGUUCGGACUAAGAUUAAAGAUUUUGCGGUCGUGGCUGUCGGUACCAAUCAGAAAAAGAAGAUUAUAGAACCACUUGAUUCUAGGUGUGCCAAGUUCAGGUUCAAGCCAAUGACAGAAGAAAUCAUGAGCAACCGAAUAUUGUACAUCUGCAAAGAAGAAGGAAUCUACCUUGACGCUGAGGUAAGAGCCUUAGAGCAUAUAAAACUGUGUUAUUUUAAUGGUAUGCCUUAAAACCC